ACAGGGACUCCUCUGAGGUGUGACAAUUUAGUGGUAUCAGAGCGGGUUUACGAUAUUUGUUUGUUUUUCGAAUUUUUGAUUUUCGAGUUAAUCUGAUACCAAUUUAGUGGUAUCAGAGCCGUUUUCGUGAUAUGGAUUUUCGAUGUUGGGUUAUGUGUUUUUGGAAUUUCGAUCUUGUUGUGAUUUACUACUUUUUGAGUUAAUCUGAAACUAAUUUUAUGGUAUCAUAGCAUGGUUCGAGUCAAAUGUUAGGUUUUAGGUUUUUCGAAUUUUGAUCUUGUUCGAUUUAUGAUUUUUGGUGUUCUGAUUAUUUUGUUUUCCCUUUGUAAGUUGAUUCCUCGAUAUGACUUUCGAGUUUUGGGACCAGGCAGCGGCAGGACAUCUCCAAGCUAUAGGAGGUAGCAAGUAGAUGAGUCAUGGAUGCUUGGAGAGAUGCCGGCUGCCAAUCCUGGGUCCCGCGCCAUAUUCAAAAAUUGAUUUUGGUUCUGUUUCUCUUUACUUGCAUUUCGUAUUCGUUGGAUUUGGUGUUGUGAGAACUAGGUUUGAUACUUGUGGUGUGGACUUGGUAUUUGUGAUGUUUUGAUAACUUUGUAAUUUGUGGGUUUUCUCUUCGUUUU